AUUGAACGCUGGCGGCAUGCCUUACACAUGCAAGUCGAACGGUAACGCGGGGCAACCUGGCGACGAGUGGCGAACGGGUGAGUAAUGCAUCGGAACGUGCCCAGUAGUGGGGGAUAGCUCGACGAAAGUCGAAUUAAUACCGCAUACGACCUAAGGGUGAAAGGGGGGGAUCGCAAGACCUCUCGCUAUUGGAGCGGCCGAUGUCAGAUUAGGUAGUUGGUAGGGUAAAAGCCUACCAAGCCUAUGAUCUGUAGCUGGUCUGAGAGGACGACCAGCCACACUGGGACUGAGACACGGCCCAGACUCCUACGGGAGGCAGCAGUGGGGAAUAUUGCGCAAUGGGGGAAACCCUGACGCAGCAACGCCGCGUGAGUGAGGAAGGACUUCGGUCUGUAAAGCUCUGUUAAUGUGGAAAAAUGGUAGUUGGUCUAAUAGGCCGAUUAUUUGAUGGUACACAUAGAGGAAGCACCGGCUAACUUCGUGCCAGCAGCCGCGGUAAAG
rnacentral:rRNA from 1 species